GGCCGCUCGGGAUACAGAGCUUAGGGAAGCAGCCAGAACAGCGUUUCUCCGGCUGCACUCGAGCUCGCCCUUAGGAGCUGCUUGGGAGAGGAUGAAGGGGAGGCUGCCACCAGCACAGGAUUACAAGGGUCACUUGGUCUGCAUUUCAUUGGUCUGCACAACUGAGUGAAGAUCCCCUUCCAUGGGCAUUGUUAGGUUUAAGACAGGCAGACAUUCAASAGCAGUUUUUACUACUACUUCCUUUUUGUUAAUAAAUGUGGAUACAUAUACAUGAAACAGCUCCUACAAUUUGCCAAUUCCCAGAGCUUUCUAAAAAAUAUGAAAGAGGUCUUCAAGCAAGACAGUUAAAUAUUUUUCAGAAAUAUUUCUAUGUUCAGAAAGAACUGAUGAAAUUAAGAAUGAACACACGAGGCCAGACCGAGUGCUUUACCACUUAUCAUUUGAAAGUGAAACAAGAAAAAAGAUACUGGAGUUAA